UGAAGAGGAUAGAAUUCAAGCAUGGUGGAAACUAUGUCCCUGCACCCAAAGAAGGUUCUUUUGAACUUUAUGGAGACCGAGUCCUGAAACUGGGAACUAACAUGUACAGCGUGAAUCAGCCUGUGGAAACUCAUGUGUCUGGAUCAUCAAAGAACUUAGCCUCAUGGACCCAGGUGAGCUUCUGCCUUCCUUGCCUACCCUCACAGCUUCUCUCUAGAUACGGAAGUCUACAUAAAGAGAGGUGAGAACGCUUUAGAUUUCGGAUCUAGCCAACAUUUCCCCUGUUGUGUGCAAUCUUCUCCAUUCCACCUUACGAGUACA
rnacentral:lncRNA from 1 species